ensembl:misc_RNA
UUUACAGCCCUUGGAGACUGAAGGCCCCUAUUUAUUCACAGAGCUAGGAGAGCAUGGGGAGCAACACUGCAACCUUCUCUCAUGCUGCCUUGCUAAUGGGCCUUAGCCCUGACGUGCAGAGACCACCUCCGAGGGCAGGAGGAAAGUUCAGUCUCCAUAACCCAGUCAUGUCCUCACCUCC